UACGUAGGGUGCAAGCGUUGUCCGGAAUUAUUGGGCGUAAAGAGCUCGUAGGCGGUCUGUCGCGUCUGCUGUGAAAACUCAGGGCUUAACCCUGAGCUUGCAGUGGGUACGGGCAGACUAGAGUGCGGUAGGGGAGACUGGAAUUCCUGGUGUAGCGGUGAAAUGCGCAGAUAUCAGGAGGAACACCCGUGGCGAAGGCGGCUCUCUGGGACGGUGCUGACGCUGAGACGCGAAAGCGUGGGGAGCGAACAGG
rnacentral:rRNA from 1 species